GACGAACGCUGGCGGCGUGCUUAACACAUGCAAGUCGAACGGAAAGGCCUCUUUCGGGGGGUACUCGAGUGGCGAACGGGUGAGUAACACGUGAGUAACCUGCCCUUGACUUUGGGAUAACUUCAGGAAACUGGGGCUAAUACCGGAUAGGAGCUCCUGCUGCAUGGUGGGGGUUGGAAAGUUUCGGCGGUUGGGGAUGGACUCGCGGCUUAUCAGCUUGUUGGUGGGGUAGUGGCUUACCAAGGCUUUGACGGGUAGCCGGCCUGAGAGGGUGACCGGCGACAUUGGGACUGAGGUACGGCCCAGACUCCUACGGGAGGCAGCAGUGGGGAAUAUUGCACAAUGGGUGGAAGCCUGAUGCAGCAACGCCGUGUGCGGGAUGACGGCCUUCGGGUUGUAAACCGCUUUCGCUCAUGACGAAGCUUUGUGUGACGGUAGUGGGUAAAGAAGCACCGGCUAACUACGUG
rnacentral:rRNA from 1 species